GACGAACGCUGGCGGCGUGCUUAACACAUGCAAGUCGAACGGUGAAGCGCCUUCCUUUUUGGUGGGUGUGGAUGAGUGGCGAACGGGUGAGUAACACGUGAGUAACCUGCCCCCUUCUUCUGGAUAACCGCAUGAAAGUGUGGCUAAUACGGGAUAUUCUGGGUCUGUCGCAUGAUGGGUCUGGGAAAGAUAUUGUUUCGGUGGGGGAUGGGCUCGCGGCCUAUCAGCUUGUUGGUGGGGUGAUGGCCUACCAAGGCGGUGACGGGUGGCCGGCCUGAGAGGGUGGACGGUCACACUGGGACUGAGACACGGCCCAGACUCCUACGGGAGGCAGCAGUGGGAAAUAUUGCACAAUGGGCGCAAGCCUGAUGCAGCGACGCCGCGUGAGGGAUGGAGGCCUGCGGGUUGUGAACCUCUUUCGCCAGUGAAGCAGGCCUGCCUCGUUUGUGGGUGGGUUGACGGUAGCUGGAUAAGAAGCGCCGGCUAACUACGUG
rnacentral:rRNA from 1 species